GAGCCUGCGGAGGGAUCAUUA
rnacentral:rRNA from 1 species